rnacentral:lncRNA from 1 species
UAAUAUAAUCUGGCCACUUUUACUUUCCCACUAAGCUUUAUUUUUGAAACUAUUCAGAAUUGGGUUUUGUAAAUGAUAUGUUGAUAUGCCAUAAUGUCUUUCUAACUAGGUAAUUAAUUUCCCCAACACAUUCCCCAGUGACUUGAAAUGCCACCAAUAACAUUUACUGAAUCUUUGUAUAUACCUGAGUCUAUUUCUGAAUCAUUGAUUUUGUUUUGCUGGUAUUGUUCUUAUUCCAACAUCAUACUUUUCAAAUGACUACUUUAGGUUUGUUACUUUUUCUAUGACAUCGAGUCUUGUGUGCUGACUAGGGUCAUCUCGAAGUUGUGUGUUCAAAUGAUCCUCCUGCCUUACCCUUCCAGAUCCUGGGACUACAAACAUGCACGGCCAUGUCCAGCUUGUUAAGGAUUUUGGAUUGUGGCCACUGUUCCUCUGUUUUUCAAACAUUUGUUUAAUAAUUUUUAGAAACAGCCAAACAUUUGAUAAGAAAUCUUACUGUUUUAUAAAGAUUAUAUUGAAUUGUCACCUUAAUGUUGAGAAAGUAGCUGUCUUUACAAUAUAGAGUUUUCCUGACCACAGGACUAUAGUAGACUUCUGUUUAAUCAGUACUUGUAAAUGAUGCAUCUCUCUUUUCAUUUAAGCUUUUGUCUUUUCUAAUAUCAUGUUUAUUUGUCUUUCUCAUCUGUAAACUUUCUGGGAUCUUUAGUUUCAUUUAUGUAUUUAGAAUGUCUGGCAUAGAAUAGAUUAUUCGGUAUAUGAUCGAUGAACAUUUUACACUAUAGCAAUUGUUCCAGAAUUUGAUUAAAAACUGUAGACUGACCCACCUAGAAAAAUGCACAAAUACACACAAAGUUUUAAAGAAAACUUAAAGGGAAAGAUUAGACACUCUACUUGAUGUCUAUAUAAUCUGUAUUAUAUAGAGAUGCUGUAUCAUAGUGGUUGAAUACAUUUUUUUGUGGGACUUGAGGGAAAGAUUUAAUACUUUAACCACAGGCUGCCGAGCAAAGCUUUAUAGUGACAGCUAUUCUUUUGGACCUGAGAAUGAGGGAGUGCAUAGGAGUGUCUUGGAUUUUAAAGGGCAGAAGGAGAGUGUUUUACAGACUGCUCCACCAGCCUAUUUAUUCUACAAGAUUUUUGGAUCAUUUCUAUUUUUGUUGACUUUCUUAAGUCCCUUUGGGCCUUCUCCUACCUUCCCCACCUUUCCCACCUUUCCCUGCUGUCAGUCAGCACCCACUGUUGCAUCUGUUGCCGGGUAUUUGCAUUGGUUUUCCUGGGAAGCUGACUGCAUUGUAGAUAAGUUUCUGUACCCCAAAUUUCCUCCUAAAUUCUUUCUACUUGCUUAUUUUAGCUGAAAGCUGGUCUCUAUCACUGUGAUAAAAUACCAUGAACAAAAGCAACUUGAGUAGGAAAGUGUUUGUUUCAUCUCU